UACAGAGGUGGCAAGCGUUGUUCGGAAUUACUGGGCGUAAAGGGCGCGUAGGCGGUCUUUUAAGUCUUGUGUGAAAUCCCUCGGCUCAACUGAGGAACUGCACGGGAUACUGGAAGACUUGAGUUCGGGAGAGGGAAGCGGAAUUCCGGGUGUAGCGGUGAAAUGCGUAGAUAUCUGGAGGAACACCGGUGGCGAAGGCGGCAUCCUGGACCGAGAUUGACGCUGAUGCGCGAAAGCCAGGGGAGCAAACGGG
rnacentral:rRNA from 1 species